CGAAAGCCUGACGGAGCAACGCCGCGUGAGGGAUGAAGGCCUCUGGGCCGUAAACCUCUUUUAUCAAGGAAGAAGAUCUGACGGUACUUGAUGAAUAAGCCACGGCUAAUUCCGUGCCAGCAGCCGCGGUAAUACGGGAGUGGCAAGCGUUAUCCGGAAUUAUUGGGCGUAAAGCGUCCGCAGGCGGCCCAACAAGUCUGCUGUUAAAAAGUGGAGCUUAACUCCAUCAUGGCAGUGGAAACUGUUGGGCUCGAGUGUGGUAGGGGCAGAGGGAAUUCCCGGUGUAGCGGUGAAAUGCGUAGAUAUCGGGAAGAACACCAGUGGCGAAGGCGCUCUGCUGGGCCAUCACUGACGCUCAUGGACGAAAGCCAGGGGAGCG
rnacentral:rRNA from 1 species